rnacentral:lncRNA from 1 species
GGCCUUUCGGGAAUGUUCUGUAACUCCGCCCCGCCCUGCUUUGGUGAGCACGCUCACCUACUCCUAGGUCCCUACCUAAGGAGGCGUCCAUUUCCGGAGAAGCGCUUAGGCUUCUGAGAACUCCACUGAACCUGCUAGUGUAAUUAAAGGUUUUUCUCCACCUCUUCAAGUGACGUUCGGAUUCUCAAAUCUUCAAAUCCCAGUAGCUGCGUCUCGUAUAGUACCGAGCUGUUCUGCUUUGCCACAACAGGAUGAAGGUAGAUGGCUCCUGCUUUGGUGGGCCUUCACUUGUGGAGUGUGGCCUGUGCACUGAGCGAGUUGUGGACUGAGCCAGCUGUCACACCAUAGACCAGAUGCUCCUGCUCUCCAGAAAGCCUGCACUUGUCCCAUAAAUGAGAGGUGGACUCUGCUUCCAAAGAGCUGACAGGUCCGAAGUGGAAGACUUGAAAUGACUAAUGGAACAGACUGGAAUUCAGAAUUUUGAAAUGUAUCCAACUGAAAAGGAACAAAAUAAAAAGAAUUUUAAUGAAUUACAACACAAGUUGAGAUGCAGACUGAAUAAUUAGAGUCUCUGUUACUGUAACUCAGUGGAAAGCGGGCCUGAUUGAAUCCUUUUCAGAUGAUUUGUGAGACAAAGUGACUGCAUUUCAAAGUAAGAGCUCCAUAUAGCUUAGUUAUAAAGAAAUUCAGGCUAAAAUUAGAAAAAAUUUUUAAAUCUCCAAAUAAAUAUUUUAAGUGAUUUCUUUUAACGUAAGACAAUAUCUUCUGGAUUAUAAAAAAUGAAAUAAAAACUUUCCC